CAUCUUUAAGGAGGCAGCAAGCCCUUCCUCUCCCGGGCACAAAUAAGCCCAACCAGCAGACCCUACCUUAACUACCGCUAUUUAAAUUCUGCAAAGUACCGCGGUGACCGGAGGAACCUUCGCAAAGGCGCAAGGGUUUGCCUUAAUUUGGUUAAUACUUGGUUGAGAUGCCUUGCGAGAACUCGAAAGCAGUUGAAUUAAGAAUCUUAAAUCUUUCUAGGACGCGGAGAAGGAAGGUAGGAAAUUGGGGAGGGGGAAAGGGAGGCGUGCCGUCAAGAAAGAGUUGAUUAUUUAUUUAAUUUCAUUCACCAAGGGAGAAUUCGGAGGCUCCAUCCCGGAGGCACUGGGGUCCGGGACGCGGGAAAGGCUUGGAAAUGUGCGACGCGGCUGUGUGCGAACGCGUGGACUAGGUCUUGGCUCGCUGGGAGGGAAGGGCUGGGCCGGCGCUGGGGAGGAGGAAGGGAGGGAACGGGUAGGAGGAGGGGAAGCGCAGUAUAAAAGUCCCGGCCGGACUGAGCGUCCGCUACUCCGAGUCACUUCGGUAAGGCGGGAGCCCGAGCAAGGUCAAGGAGGGAAGUGCGCGGUGCCACGGACCGACACAGUUCGCUCUAGCAUCUGACG
rnacentral:lncRNA from 1 species